rnacentral:rRNA from 1 species
GAUGAACGCUGGCGGCGUGCCUAAUACAUGCAAGUCGAGCGAACGGACGAGAAGCUUGCCCCUCUGAUGUUAGCGGCGGACGGGUGAGUAACACGUGGAUAACCUACCUAUAAGACUGGGAUAACUUCGGGAAACCGGAGCUAAUACCGGAUAAUAUUUUGAACCGCAUGGUUCAAAAGUGAAAGACGGUCUUGCUGUCACUUAUAGAUGGAUCCGCGCUGCAUUAGCUAGUUGGUAAGGUAACGGCUUACCAAGGCAACGAUGCAUAGCCGACCUGAGAGGGUGAUCGGCCACACUGGAACUGAGACACGGUCCAGACUCCUACGGGAGGCAGCAGUAGGGAAUCUUCCGCAAUGGGCGAAAGCCUGACGGAGCAACGCCGCGUGAGUGAUGAAGGUCUUCGGAUCGUAAAACUCUGUUAUUAGGGAAGAACAUAUGUGUAAGUAACUGUGCACAUCUUGACGGUACCUAAUCAGAAAGCCACGGCUAACUACGUG